rnacentral:rRNA from 1 species
UACAGAGGGUGCAAGCGUUAAUCGGAAUUACUGGGCGUAAAGCGUGCGUAGACGGUAGCGUAAGUCGGGUGUGAAAGCCCCGGGCUCAACCUGGGAAUUGCAUUCGAGACUGCUCUGCUAGGGUGCGGAAGAGGGAAGCGGAAUUUCCGGUGUAGCGGUGAAAUGCGUAGAUAUCGGAAGGAACACCAGUGGCGAAAGCGGCUUCCUGGUCCAGCACCGACGUUCAGGCACGAAAGCGUGGGGAGCGAACAGG